CCUACGGGCGGCAGCAGUGGGGAAUAUUGCACAAUGGGCGCAAGCCUGAUGCAGCCAUGCCGCGUGUGUGAAGAAGGCCUUCGGGUUGUAAAGCACUUUCAGCGGGGAGGAAGGCGUUAAGGUUAAUAACCUUGUCGAUUGACGUUACCCGCAGAAGAAGCACCGGCUAACUCCGUGCCAGCAGCCGCGGUAAUACGGAGGGUGCAAGCGUUAAUCGGAAUUACUGGGCGUAAAGCGCACGCAGGCGGUCUGUCAAGUCGGAUGUGAAAUCGCCGGGCUCAACCUGGGAACUGCAUUCGAAACUGGCAGGCUAGAGGGUUGUAGAGGGGGGUAGAAUUCCAGGUGUAGCGGUGAAAUGCGUAGAGAUCUGGAGGAAUACCGGUGGCGAAGGCGGCCCCCUGGACAAAGACUGACGCUCAGGUGCGAAAGCGUGGGGAGCAAACAGGAUUAGAUACCCUUGUAGUC
rnacentral:rRNA from 1 species